GAUGAACGCUGGCGGCGUGCCUAAUACAUGCAAGUCGAGCGAACAGACGAGGAGCUUGCUCCUCUGACGUUAGCGGCGGACGGGUGAGUAACACGUGGAUAACCUACCUAUAAGACUGGGAUAACUUCGGGAAACCGGAGCUAAUACCGGAUAAUAUAUUGAACCGCAUGGUUCAAUAGUGAAAGACGGUUUUGCUGUCACUUAUAGAUGGAUCCGCGCCGCAUUAGCUAGUUGGUAAGGUAACGGCUUACCAAGGCAACGAUGCGUAGCCGACCUGAGAGGGUGAUCGGCCACACUGGAACUGAGACACGGUCCAGACUCCUACGGGAGGCAGCAGUAGGGAAUCUUCCGCAAAGGGCGGAAGCCUGACGGAGCAACGCCGCGUGAGUGAUGAAGGGCUUCGGAGCGGAAAACUCUGUUAGUAGGGAAGAACAAAUGUGUAAGUAACUAUGCACGGCUUGACGGUACCUAAUCAGAAAGCCACGGCUAACUACGUG
rnacentral:rRNA from 1 species